GCCAGGUGCAGUGGCACAUGCCUGUAGUCCCAGCUACUCGGGAGGCUGAGGUGGAAGGAUCACUCGAGCCCAGGAGUUCUGGGCUGUAGUGUGCUACGCCGAUCGGGUGUCCACACUAAGUUCGGCAUCAAUAUGGUGACCUCCUGGGAGCGGGAAACCACCAGGCUGCCUAAGGAGGGGUGAACUGGCCCAGGUUGGAAACGGAGCAGGUCAAAACUCCCGUGCUGAUCAGUAGUGGGAUCGCGCCUGUGAGUAGCCACUGCCCUCCAGCCUGGGCAACAUAGCAAGACCCCGUCUUU
rnacentral:SRP_RNA from 1 species